rnacentral:lncRNA from 1 species
CAUGAACCCAAGGCUGAUACGUAGGAAUGAGGAAAGUUCCAGUGUCCUUGAGGGGCUUGUCCAGGUUACUUGGUAGAGUGUACGGCCUGGGGCCUUCUACCAGCUAUAUCCUUUCCCACUCCUGCACUCCCAGGAUGGGCUCAGCGGAGUUAGCGGAGCUUCUGUCCAAAGUAGGCUUAAGCCCAUCUCUUCCCAUCCCUGCCAAGGGCAGAGAGCCUGGAGGGAAGAAGAGACAGAUGGCUCCAAAAAGGUGCUCCCCUCCCCCAACCCAAAGGGCCCUUACAGUUUAGAUGCCUGGAUAGUGAAAAACUAAUCCUGGAGGCUGUGAUCCCCAGAGCUCCCUUGUGUGGCAAGUUGGAGAGAGCAGUGAGCCAGCAUUCAGGGGAUCUAGGAGGGUUGGGUGGAGGUCAUGAGGCAGCCAGCCCCUGGGACAGACCGGAAGGAUAGGAGGACUCUUUUACCCUCCAGCUUCCUGCCUUCUAUUUUGAGCCCUACUCAUUUCAGAAUACUGGCCUUCCCACAACUUUGUUAUUAAAAUAUCUUUGUUAUAC